rnacentral:rRNA from 1 species
UGAAUACGAGAUGCUACGGCAUCGAAGCAGUCUAUGUCAUACUUCCAAGAAAAGCUUGCACUGUCAUAAACAAAUAAUGCCUGUACCAUAACCGACACAGGUGGGUAGGUAGAGUAUACUAAGGGGCGCGAGAUAACUCUCUCUAAGGAACUCGGCAAAAUGACUCCGUAACUUCGGGAGAAGGAGUGCCUUAUUUUAUAAGGUUGCAAUAACAAGAUCCAAGCAACUGUUUACCAAAAACACAGGUCUCCGCUAAGUCGUAAGACGAUGUAUGGGGGCUGACGCCUGCCCAGUGCCAGAAGGUUAAAGAAGUUGGUUAGCAUUAGCGAAGCUGAUAACUGAAGCCCUGGUGAACGGCGGCCGUAACGAUAACGGUCCUAAGGUAGCGAAAUUCCUUGUCGGGUAAGUUCCGACCCGCGCGAAAGGCGUAAUGAUUUGGUUACUGUCUCGGAGAGGGGCUCGGUGAAAUAGACUUGUCUGUGAAGAUGCGGACUACCUGCACCAGGACAGAAAGACCCUAUGAAGCUUUACUGUAACUUGAGAUUGAAAUUGGACUUUAUUUGCGCAGUAUAGGUGGGAGACGUUGAAAAUAUUCUUGCGGGAAUAUUGGAGUCAUCAGUGAGAUACCACUCUUAUAAUGUUAGAUUUCUAACUUUGUAUCAUUAUCUGGUCAAAGAGCAGUCUCAGGCGGGCAGUUUGACUGGGGCGGUCGCCUCCCAAACGGUAACGGAGGCGCACAAAGGUUUCCUCUGAACGUGUAGAAAUCGUAUCUAGAGUGUAAAGGCAUAAGGAAGCUUGACUGUGAGACCUACAAGUCGAGCAGGGACGAAAGUCGGUCUUAGUGAUCUGACGGUGCUGAGUGGAAAGGCCGUCACUCAACGGAUAAAAGUUACUCUAGGAUAACAGGCUGAUCUCCCCCAAGAGUUCACAUCGACGGGGAGGUUUGGCACCUCGAUGUCGGCUCAUCGCAUCCUGGGGCGGUAGUACGUCCCAAGGGUUGGGCUGUUCGCCCAUGAAAGCGGUACGCGAGCUGGGUUCAGAACGUCGUGAGACAGUUCGGUCCAUAUCCGGUGUAGGCGUUAGAAUAUUGAGAGGAGCCUUCUUUAGUACGAGAGGACCGAGAAGGACAUACCUCUGGUGUACCAGUUAUCGUGCCAACGGUAAACGCUGGGUAGCUAUGUAUGGAGAGGAUAACCGCUGAAAGCAUCUAAGUGGGAAGCCCACCUCAAGAUAAG